AUGAAUAUUGUUUCUAUGAAUACAUUUCUUGACGUGUCUUUUGGUGAACAUGUGCCCUCCUUUCUCUUGGAUAUAUACUUAGGAGUGGAAUUGCUGGCUCAUAAGGAAGACAUAUGUUUAAUUUUGGUAGAUACUUGCAGACAGUUUUCCAAAGCGGCUGAACCAAUUUCUUUUCGCUCCAGCAAUGUACAAGAGUUACAGUUGAUUUCUUAUCUAAAUGUUCAUGGAGAUGCAGAAGCAGCCCAGCCGUUGGGUUUUAAACUACCAAAUGUGUGGUGUUUGAAGAAAAUGCAAGAUUUGGGUCUAUCUAUAUUGUUGAAUGUGAAACGGGAGAGUUCCCUGACCCCUGUGGCAGGACGUCUGACAAGGGUGUGGCUUAUCUGUUUUGCCGCCAUGCGCUCAAGCCCCUUAUGGGAGGAGGAGCACCCAGACCGGCAGCUGCAGGAGCUAGGGUCUUUGUCCAGCAUUCGGGAAGAAUCAGGUCACAAACGGACUUGAAGGACUUGAAGGAUGGUGGAUGCCGGGAUUUUAUUGUCUAAUGGAGGUGAUUGUCAGCAGGAUGGAUGGGGAGCUGGAAAGGGGAUGGAGUGGGAACAUGAUCUUUCCCUGGAGUGUGGCCAUCCAGCAGCCCAUCUCCUCUCUGACUGUCUGCAGAUGAACUGUCAACAUUCAGAUGCUCCUUCCCUUCUCUCCGUCUCUGAUGCACCACUUUUCUGCUCCUCUGCUCUUCUUAUCUUCUGCUCAUGGAGCCUGGGGUUUGGAAUUUGUAUGGCUAUUGAACAGGGUGGCAUGGUAGGCUGAAAGGCAACAUUUGGGCAUGAAACAGGAAUGUCUGUUCUGAUUUAGGGGCCAUGGAUUUCCAGGCUUGAGGGUGGGGCCUUUAUCAGGGAACUGCCCUCUUCUACCUAGUAUCUCCCUGCCUCCUGCCUGCAUCAAAUGCAGCCUGUAGUUCUUUCCUUUUAUUGCUGUGUCACAUUCCAUGUUUCAAUAUAACAACAUUUGUUUAUUCGUGGUACUGCUGAUGGACUUUUAAGGCUUUUAGUUAUUUGAAAUUUCUCGCUAUUAAAAUAGUGCUAAGAUGAAAAUUCUUAUAUAUGUGUGUAUAUAUAUAUGCACAUACAGAUAUAUACACACAUAUAUGUCUAUAUAUAUACACAUAUAUGUGUAUAUAUAGAGAGUAUAUAUAUAGACAUAUAUACAUAUAUAGUGUAUAUAUAUAGACAUAUAUAUGUGUGUGUGUAUAUAUGUGUUUAUAUAUUUAUAUGUCUAUGUCUCCUAGGAGUGAAAUUGAUAAAUUAUGUAGUAUACAUAUGUUCAGUUUUUGUACAUACUGGAAAGUGUUUUCCAACUGGAUUUUACCAGGGUACAAUUCUGCCAGCAGUGGUUAAAUGCUACUUGUUCUAGAAGGUUAGUAUUGGUGUUUUAUUUAACAUUUCCCUAACGAUUUUGAUGUUGCAAAACUUUUCAUAUGCUUAUUUGUCAUCCAUGUAUCUUCUUUUGUCACACAUUUUGCCC
rnacentral:lncRNA from 1 species